UUUUGGGGUCUCUGUGUGAUUCCCAGCAGGAAUGGGAUCAAUGGGUGCGUGGGGCACUGCUGACAGCAAAUGGGCCUUGGGCUUUGCCCCCCAGGCCAGGAAAAUAGCAGCUCCAAGCCCAAAUUAUCAGGCUUUUGGCAGGCUGGAAGGGAUUUGAUUAUAUUUUGGACUAAAAUCUAGGUGGUAAUAGGCUGCAUGGGCUUUUCUUUUUUUUUUUCAUGGUGCUUGCUCCCCUCCCACACCACGCGUGGGUUCUGCAGGCAAUCCUGGCACAGCCCCCGGGGCCAGGGGGUGCUCAGCGCCUGCAGAAUUAACACCUCCUGCUGGCGUGGUGUGGGUCCCCUCCUGGCCUCCUCUGGGGAACCCACAGAAAAAAAAAAAUUGAGGCCCUGUGCUGCGUGCAAGGCUCGUGGAAGUGUGUCUAGGAGGGUCUGGGAUGGUCACCAGGGUGGCACCAGGGUGGCACAGGGGUGGGAAGGGGGGGUCCUUGUGCACCAGGGGUCCCUGGGGACAUUGUAGGAAGGGGACAAAUCCCUUAGGGCGAGCCAAGUCCCCAGGCAUUGCCCUAGCAAAGCAAGCCCACCCUGAGCAGACGGGUGCUCAGGGCUCUGAGCUGGGCUAAUUAAACAAAAGAUUUUUGAAAAUCAGGCUGGGAGGGGGUGUGUGUGUGUGCGUGUGCCCCCCCCUCCCGUCUCGCUGCAUCUGGCACCCAAGCGCGGAGCUCUGCUGCGUUUCCGCCCUUCCUGCCGCGCCGCUCAUCCCACCCCUUUAUUUAUCCGUGCCUUCAAGUCCCUGCCGCUGCCGAGCGGCGGAAAGGAGAUGCUGCCUGGCUGGAUGCGAGCGAUUAAAGCGAGAACGGGGAAAGCUGGAGCCUGCCUGGCUGGCUGCACGGCGUGGGCAUGGCGGUGGUGCGAGGAGUACGGCCCCCGGUGCCCGCGGCCAAGCCGCUCACAUCCAUGCCCAGCGCAAUGCAUCACCUUGCUCAAGGGAAGCUCCGGAGAGAAAUAUUGCUGAGCCCAUCCCGAAUCGCAUCUGGUUCGGAUUAGGACUGGAUCAGGUCCCGCUCUGCUCAAGGAACGAGGAGGGGAACUUGGAGCUUGUUCUGCUCCUCGCGAAUACGAACUGAACGCGGCGCCCAAACGCAGGCAAAACGAGGGGAAUCCAAGAGAUGUUGCAGCUCCUCCCGGUGGAAGACCCCUUCCAGCAACACCCGAGGUGGGUGGUGGGAGCUCGUCCACCUCGGAGCAGCCCCAAAUCGCAGAAAACCACCAGGACUGGCAGCAGCGAUCCUUGGCGAGGGGAUGCUGCAGGCGAGGUGCAGGUUUGGGGGUUCCCUGCUCUCCCCCGGGACGCUCCCAACCCGCACCCCUGGCUCCCAUCACCUCCUCACCCCACAAGGCUCACGGCAAGGUGCUGCCCCUCAAGGGGCAGGGUCCAGGAGCAGCCCCACAGCCCCCUCCUCACCCACCUCUGCGGCUGCUUGGGGACAGAGCCUCGGGGAAAUGCUGCUCCCAAGAGAAGCCAAGGGAGAGGGAGCCUCGAACAGCUCCGGCAGCUUCUUGUGGCUUGUUGUUUACAUAGCGCCUGCUCCCAGCCGGCUCUUGCCAUAGCUGCUAAUUUGAUAGCAUGUGAUGAAUGGGAAAGGCUGUGCAAGAAACAGGGAAAACCGCCACCGCCUCACGGGCUGGAGCGCAACGAGAGGGCGCAAAGAAAUUCGUGGAUUUGGGGGAGAUGCAGCACCUGCUGCAAGUGAAGACCUGAAGUCCUCGAGCCCCAGGGGAGCAAUUCACACAUGGCAGAAAAAGGGACCUGCUUGGGGUUUGUGUCCUGCCUCAGGUCGCUGCCUGGACAUGGGUCCGAAGUGGCCCCAGCUCUCUGCAGGACAGCCAUGGGGUGCGUUACCUGCAGGGCAGCCGCUGUGCUUUUGGUUUUCCAUUCUACCCAAAGACAAGUGCAGGUGUUUGGGUGCCGUUUGCAGCAGGCAAAGCGCGCUGAGCUCAGCUGCAUCAGGUCCCGAUUAGCAGAGAAAACUUGUCCUGUUGGCGGUGACUUUUGACAAAUAUCUUGCAGAGAGAGAUUUCUCCAGCACUGCAAGCUGGUCUCCACCUUGGGACCUUUUUCACCCUGUCCCUGUGGUCACAAGAGGUCCCCACCCGCAUUCCCUGGUUUGGCAGAGCCACCGGUUUUCAUGAGCACCCAUGGGUGGCCCUGGUGGUGGCUCCUCACCGUCUCCAGGUGCCACAUGGAGCAUCCCCUGCUCUCAGGCAGUCCUUCCCCUGCCUCUCAGCUCACCCCUGGCUGCUGUGAGCUGUGGGCUCUGGGCUAAGCGGGGUGGAAACCCCCCUGAGGUCGGCAUUUUCGGGAGGAGGCUGGGCUCUGCCUGCUGAACCGGGGCUUUGUGGCUGGCGGCACACAAGGACCUCACCAUUCUUUCCCCAAAGCAGCCCUCUGACAGCGCUCGCUCUCUUUUUGAUGCGCUGGGCGUGUUGUGGGUUUUGUGGCUCGUGUCCCAACAAGGCAACACGCUGUGUUCCCGCUGACCUCCCCGACACGCCGCCCGGGGAUGGAUUUACGGCUCCUCCCGUGCACAAUCGCUCUUGCUGCCGGCAGCUCUGCUCACAGACAAAGGACGAGGCAGCGGCCCCCCUGCGCCACCCACCCUCGCUGUGCUUUGGGGAGCUUUGC